GCGGCGGCACGUAGGACGGAUCUCUUGGAUUUACCUGUAACGAGGAGCGGCGCACCCCAGGAGCCCCGGCAGCACCCCAGGAGCCCCGGCAGCACCCCAGGAGCCCCGGCAGCACCCCAGGAGCCCCGGCAGCACCCCAGGAGCCCCGGCAGCACCCCAGGAGCCCCGGCAGCACCCCAGGAGCCCCGGCAGCACCCCAGGAGCCCCGGCAGCACCCCAGGAGCCCCGGCAGCACCCCAGGAGCCCCGGCAGCACCCCAGGAGCCCCGGCAGCACCCCAGGAGCCCCGGCAGCACCCCAGGAGCCCCGGCAGCACCCCAGGAGCCCCGGCAGCACCCCAGGAGCCCCGGCAGCACCCCAGGAGCCCCGGCAGCACCCCAGGAGCCCCGGCAGCACCCCAGGAGCCCCGGCAGCACCCCAGGAGCCCCGGCAGCACCCCAGGAGCCCCGGCAGCACCCCAGGAGCCCCGGCAGCACCCCAGGAGCCCCGGCAGCACCCCAGGAGCCCCGGCAGCACCCCAGGAGCCCCGGCAGCACCCCAGGAGCCCCGGCAGCACCCCAGGAGCCCCGGUACGCAACCCUCCCCCGGGAACCCCGGCAGCACCCCGGGAACCCCGGCAGCACCCCGGGAACCCCGGCAGCACCCCAGGAGCCCCGGCAGCACCCCAGGAGCCCCGGUACGCAACCCUCCCCCGGGAACCCCGGCAGCACCCCAGGAGCCCCGGCAGCACUCCAGGAGCCCCGGCAGCACCCCAGGAGCCCCGGCAGCACCCCAGGAGCCCCGGCAGCACCCCAGGAGCCCCGGCAGCACCCCAGGAGCCCCGGCAGCACCCCAGGAGCCCCGGCAGCACCCCAGGAGCCCCGGCAGCACCCCAGGAGCCCCGGCAGCACCCCAGGAGCCCCGGCAGCACCCCAGGAGCCCCGGUACGCAACCCUCCCCCAGGAGCCCCGGCAGCACCCCAGGAGCCCCGGCAGCACCCCAGGAGCCCCGGCAGCACCCCAGGAGCCCCGGCGCCACCCUCCCCCCGGAGGGGGAUCCCGGCGCGCCACCCUCCCCCCGGAGGGGGAUCCCGGCGCGCCACCCUCCCCCCGGAGGGGGAUCCCGGCGCGCCACCCUCCCCCCGGAGGGGGAUCCCGGCGCGCCACCCUCCCCCCGGAGGGGGAUCCCGGCGCGCCACCCUCCCCGGCAACAACCUGUUGCCAUGUAUUGCGAUUUGUAUCAGUCACAAGCACACAACCCCUUCUAGUAUUAAUGAUGUUUAAAACGUUCUACACGUACGGCGGACCGCAUCCGUCGCAAGCACGCGCAUAUAACCCCCAAAUGCACCAUGAUGAGAAGCACAGCCACGCGUCAAAAAACUUUAAAAACAUCGUUAUCCAAUAUUAAAAACCACACCGAAAUUUACACAGGUGGCACGUUACCGUGUUAGUGUCACCCACUGUACACAAGGCGUGUCGUAUAUGUAGUAUAGGUAUUUGAUGAGGCGGAAGCAUAUCCCGCUUCCAGCGAACGGAAAUAAGGAUCAUCCGUUCCAGCAUUUAUUCAAAGGGGGCACAGAGGGUUCACAUUGUUUAGAGAGAGUUUUUCUUAGUAACCAUUCCAUACUUUGGCAGUAUUGGCCUACGAUUUGGGCGACGUUUCAGGCUGGUCUAUUCUCCGUCCACUUUUCCCCGGCUAUUCUAUCCCAGCAUAGGCUCUUGAAAUAAACAAUGUUUACCGAGUAAAA
rnacentral:misc_RNA from 1 species